rnacentral:rRNA from 1 species
CCGGCGACCGGCGCACGGGUGAGUAACGCGUAUGCAACUUACCUAUCAGGAGGGGGAUAACCCGGCGAAAGUCGGACUAAUACCGCAUGAAGCAGGGGCCCCGCAUGGGGGAUAUUUGCUAAAGAUUCAUCGCUGAUAGAUAGGCAUGCGUUCCAUUAGGCAGUUGGCGGGGUAACGGCCCACCAAACCGACGAUGGAUAGGGGUUCUGAGAGGAAGGUCCCCCACAUUGGUACUGAGACACGGACCAAACUCCUACGGAAGGCAGCAG